UGGCUCUCCCAUCGAUGAAGAACGCAGCGAACUGCGAUACGUAAUGUGAAUUGCAGAAUUCAGUGAAUCAUCGAAUCUUUGAACGCACCUUGCGCCGCUCGGUUUUCCGAGGGGCACGUCUGUUUGAGUGUCACGUUAAUUCAUCACUUACCUUCGGGGAAGUGGAUUUGGACGUUGCUGUUGUUCAUUCGACGGCUCGUCUUAAAUGCAUUGUUGCCUGCAGAGCCUUGCGCGGAGCGAGGCCGACGAAACGGUGUGAUAUUUAUUAUCUGCGCUGAAGUAGUUGGUCUUUGCGCUGCUGCACUUUGAGCGCCCUGGGCUUAUAAUGAAACGGUUGAGCUUGCUCGACUUUAUUACUUUGCGUUUGACCUCAAAUCAGAUGGGACUACCCGCUGA
rnacentral:misc_RNA from 1 species